rnacentral:rRNA from 1 species
AGAGUUUGAUCAUGGCUCAGAUUGAACGCUGGCGGCAGGCCUAACACAUGCAAGUCGAACGGUAACAUUUCUAGCUUGCUAGAAGAUGACGAGUGGCGGACGGGUGAGUAAUACUUAGGAAUAUGCCUUUGUGUGGGGGAUAACCAUUGGAAACGAUGGCUAAUACCGCAUAACGUCUUCGGACCAAAGGGGGCCUUGGCUCCCGCGCAAAGAGUAGCCUAAGCGAGAUUAGCUUGUUGGUGAGGUAAAGGCUCACCAAGGCGACGAUCUCUAGCUGUUCUGAGAGGAAGAUCAGCCACACUGGAACUGAGACACGGUCCAGACUCCUACGGGAGGCAGCAGUGGGGAAUAUUGCACAAUGGGGGAAACCCUGAUGCAGCCAUGCCGCGUGUGUGAAGAAGGCCUUCGGGUUGUAAAGCACUUUCAGUUGUGAGGAAAGGUUAACGGUUAAUACCCGUUAGCUGUGACGUUAGCAACAGAAGAAGGACCGGCUAACUCCGUGCCAGCAGCCGCGGUAAUACGGAGGGUCCGAGCGUUAAUCGGAAUUACUGGGCGUAAAGCGCACGCAGGCGGUUUGUUAAGCUAGAUGUGAAAGCCCCGGGCUCAACCUGGGACGGUCAUUUAGAACUGGCAGACUAGAGUCUUGGAGAGGGGAGUGGAAUUCCAGGUGUAGCGGUGAAAUGCGUAGAUAUCUGGAGGAACAUCAGUGGCGAAGGCGACUCCCUGGCCAAAGACUGACGCUCAUGUGCGAAAGUGUGGGUAGCGAACAGGAUUAGAUACCCUGGUAGUCCACACCGUAAACGCUGUCUACUAGCUGUUUGUGGAUUUAAUCCGUGAGUAGCGAAGCUAACGCGAUAAGUAGACCGCCUGGGGAGUACGGCCGCAAGGUUAAAACUCAAAU